rnacentral:rRNA from 1 species
UACGUAGGGGGCAAGCGUUGUCCGGAAUUAUUGGGCGUAAAGCGUGCGCAGGCGGUUUUGUAAGCCAGAUGUGAAAUCCCCGGGCUUAACCUGGGAAUGGCAUUUGGGACUGCAAGGCUCGAGUGCGGCAGAGGAGACUGGAAUUCCUGGUGUAGCAGUGAAAUGCGUAGAUAUCAGGAGGAACACCGGUGGCGAAGGCGGGUCUCUGGGCAGUAACUGACGCUGAGGAGCGAAAGCGUGGGGAGCGAACAGG